GACGAACGCUGGCGGCGUGCUUAACACAUGCAAGUCGAACGGAAAGGCCCCUUUUUGGUUACGCGAGUGACUAACGAGUGAGUAACACGUAAGUAACCUACCCUUGACUUCGGGAGAACUUCAGUAAACUGAGUCGAAUACCGGAUAGGAAUGCGUGCUGCAUGGAGGGGGUUGGAUAGCAUCGGAGGGUGUGGAUGGACUCGCGGCUUAUCUGCUUGUUUGUUGGGUAGUGGCUUACCAAGGGUUUGAAUGGUAGGCGGCCGGAGAGGGCGAACGGCCCAAUUGGGAAUGGGAUACGGGGCAGACUCCUACGGGAGGAAGGAGUGGGGAAUAUUGCACCAUAGGGGGAAGCCUGAUGCAGCCAAGCCGCGGGGGGGAUGAAGGGCUUCCGGUUGUAAACCGCCUUCAGCAGGGGAGAAGGUUGUGGUGACGGUAACUGCAGAAGAAGCACCGGCUAACUACGUG
rnacentral:rRNA from 1 species